rnacentral:rRNA from 1 species
GAUGAACGCUGGCGGCGUGCCUAAUACAUGCAAGUCGAGCGAACAGAUAAGGAGCUUGCUCCUUUGAAGUUAGCGGCGGACGGGUGAGUAACACGUGGGUAACCUACCUAUAAGACUGGGAUAACUUCGGGAAACCGGAGCUAAUACCGGAUAACAUUUAGAACCGCAUGGUUCUAAAGUGAAAGAUGGUUUUGCUAUCACUUAUAGAUGGACCCGCGCCGUAUUAGCUAGUUGGUAAGGUAACGGCUUACCAAGGCGACGAUACGUAGCCGACCUGAGAGGGUGAUCGGCCACACUGGAACUGAGACACGGUCCAGACUCCUACGGGAGGCAGCAGUAGGGAAUCUUCCGCAAUGGGCGAAAGCCUGACGGAGCAACGCCGCGUGAAUGAUGAAGGGUUUCGGCUCGUAAAACUCUGUUAUUAGGGAAGAACAAAUGUGUAAGUAACUGUGCACAUCUUGACGGUACCUAAUCAGAAAGCCACGGCUAACUACGUG